rnacentral:tRNA from 1 species
GCUUCGGUAGUGCAACUGGUAGGUACAACAUACUCAACAUCUGUAGAUGUGGAUUCGAGUCCUACCUGAAGCU